rnacentral:rRNA from 1 species
UACCAGCACCCCGAGUGGUCGGGACGAUUAUUGGGCCUAAAGCAUCCGUAGCCGGUUUUACAAGUCCUCCGUUAAAUCCAGCUGCUUAACAGAUGGGCUGCGGAGGAUACUAUAAGACUAGGAGGCAGGAGAGGCAAGCGGUACUUUAUGGGUAGGGGUAAAAUCCGUUGAUCCAUAGAAGACCACCAGUGGCGAAGGCGGCUUGCCAGAACGCGCUCGACGGUGAGGGAUGAAAGCUGGGGGGAGCAAACCGG